ACUACGGGAGGCAGCAGUGGGGAAUAUUGGACAAUGGGCGAAAGCCUGAUCCAGCCAUGCCGCGUGUGUGAAGAAGGCCUUCGGGUUGUAAAGCACUUUCAGUGGGGAAGAAAGCCUUGGGGCUAAUACCCUCGAGGAAGGACAUCACCCACAGAAGAAGCACCGGCUAACUCCGUGCCAGCAGCCGCGGUAAUACGGAGGGGUGCGAGCGUUAAUCGGAAUUACUGGGCGUAAAGCGCGCGUAGGCGGUCUGAUAAGCCGGUUGUGAAAGCCCCGGGCUCAACCUGGGAACGGCAUCCGGAACUGUCAGGCUAGAGUGCACGAGAGGAAGGUAGAAUUCCCGGUGUAGCGGUGAAAUGCGUAGAGAUCGGGAGGAAUACCAGUGGCGAAGGCGGCCUUCUGGACUGACACUGACGCUGAGGUGCGAAAGCGUGGGUAGCAAACAGGAUUAGAUACCCGAGUAGUC
rnacentral:rRNA from 1 species